GUAGUUGUGGCCGAGCGGUUAAGGGGAUGGACUAGAAAUUCAUUGGGAUUUUCCCGCGUAGGUUCGAAUCCUACCAACUACA
rnacentral:tRNA from 1 species